rnacentral:tRNA from 1 species
GCUGCUGUAGCUCAGUGGUAGAGCACUCCCUUGGUAAGGGAGAGGUCGACAGUUCAAUCCCGUCCAGCAGCACCA